rnacentral:ncRNA from 1 species
UAUAAGUUUUAUUCUUGCUUAUGUUCAUUCAGUUUUUGUUUAUUUUAUAUGUAAGUGUGUGCGUGAUUUUUCCUUAAGGCUCUAAAUGGGCUAGAGGUGUAAUAUUUUAUUUCUCAUUAGUUAUUAUUAGUUGAUCAAGUAUUCUUGUAUUUAGUAAUGCAUUUUAGUUUCGGUUAAAUUUUGUGCCAGCAGCCGCGGUUAUACCUUGGAAGCAUUUGAAUGGGUUUGGUAUUAAAGGUAGUUAUUUGUUUAUUUUGGUUGGUUUUAUUUGGAUGAUUUUUAGGUGAAAUUUUUAUUUUUUUGUUUAUCUUUAUUUAAGUUUGGAGGCUAUGAAAUUUUAUUGUUAAACUAGGAUUAGAUACCCUAUUAUUUUGGAAUGUUAAAGGUUUUACCCGAGUAGUAUUAGUUAUGUUCUUGAAACUUAAAGAAUUUGGCGGUAUCUCAUUCCUUCUAGAGGAAUCUGUCUCGUUAUCGAUAGUCCACGUUGGACCUUACUUAAUUGAAUAUGGUUUGUAUACCGCCGUUUAUUGAUUAUCUUUUUAGGGGUUAUUUUAAUUUUCUGGUUUCUUUAUUUUGAUGUAUUUCAGGUCAAGGUGCAGCUUGUUUUUAAGUGGAAUGAUGGAUUACAUUGUUAUUUGUUUUUGGAUUGUUGGUUUUAAUAUUGGUAUGAAAUUGGAUUUAGUUGUAAUAGUUUGUAGAUUGUUAUUAUGAUAGUUGGUUCUGAGAUAUGUACACAUCGCCCGUCGCUCUCGUUUUAUUAUAAUGAGAUAAGUCGUAACAAAGUGGUUGUACCGGAAGGUGUAGCUGGAUUGAU